AGUGAUUUUUGUGGCCAGGAGAAGUAUUUUGUUUGGAUAAAAACACUUCCGGUCGGCCAUUUUGAAUCGCUAAUAUCGUCAUAUUUGAGGAUAAAUAUGCAUCAAAUUGGAACAGAUGGUUCUCCUGCAGUCCUGCAUCCUGCUGAGCGUGCAGACAAUCAGAGCUGCUGCAGAUCUGAUGCACUUCCAUCAGGGCCAGAAGAUCCUGUCAUACAACGUGGAGCUGAAUAACAAUAAUCGCACACAAUGUCACACAAUGUCACACAAUGUCACACAAUGACAGACGUCUGCAGGAACCUACCGUGUGACCCAGGAGACAGAGAAGACAUGGAGCUGUGGAGAGAAGUUUAAAGAAGAGAAGUGACGGUCCAACAAACGGGUCACAUAAAAACUCAGUAAACAAACAGGCAUCGACAGGAAAUCAACAAUCAGCUCCAGAACAAAGGACUCGGAGCAGUUCAGCUCAGAGGCGACAGACCGCUCCUCACAGACGACUUGAUGUGUUCUGAAGGCUGGAAAUACGKCGAAGGAGUUGUUGUAAAGACACAAAGCUGCUGGAAAGGUGCCUUUGGGCAAAACAAAGUCCUUCGGUUCCACAGCGAAAGGAACUGCUCUGCUUUGACAAGUCGGAGAAGGACGAGUCAAAACAGCUUCCUGUCUGAGAGACUUGACGCUCUGCAAAGACCCGUCAGCUCGACCCUUAAAGCCCAAACAUCUGAUAGUUCUGUUAAAGAAGGAGGAACCUGCAGGAAACUCAGGCUGAAACAGUUUCCACACAUCAAACUAAUAAAAUAAAGCUUCAUUUGGGAUUUUUACUCCUGUAGACCUGACAGGUAAUUCCCUUAAUCCUGUUUAUUCUGAAAGUUUAAAACUGUUCAUGAGACGUCAGAGAGGUCUGAAAGAGCUUUAAUGUUUUUUUUAUUACAUUUUUAAAAGCUGGGGUUUUAUUUUGACAAAYUUCAAACCCAAAACUAAAUAAUUUUAUUUUUCUCAGUAACACGUUUUUAUCAGUUAKUGGAUUAACGAGAAGUAAAACAGCUGAAUCACAUUAAAGAUAUGUUUUUAGUCACUUAUUUGAAACAAUCUGUGGCUAAAAACAAAAUGUUUUCUCUUCAAAAAAAGUCUGAAAAUCRUCUUUACUGUUGCAGCAGAACGAUGAAGAAACAGCAGUAAA